GUCAACCAUGGGGAGGUGUAGUCUAACGACUAGGGGGAUGACGUCAACCAUGGGGAGGUGUAGUCUAACGACUAGGGGGAUGACGUCAACCAUGGGGAGGUGUAGUCUAACGACUAGGGGGAUGACGUCAACCAUGGGGAGGUGUAGUCUAACGACUAGGGGGAUGACGUCAACCAUGGGGAGGUGUAGUCUAACGGCUAGGGGGAUGACGUCAACCAUGGGGAGGUGUAGUCUAACGACUGGGGGGAUGACGUCAACCAUGGGGAGGUGUAGUCUAACGACUAGGGGGAUGACGUCAACCAUGGGGAGGUGUAGUCUAACGACUGGGGGGAUGACGUCAACCAUGGGGAGGUGUAGUCUAACGACUAGGGGGAUGACGUCAACCAUGGGGAGGUGUAGUCUAACGACUAGGGGGAUGACGUCAACCAUGGGGAGGUGUAGUCUAACGACUGGGGGGAUGACGUCAACCAUGGGGAGGUGUAGUCUAACGACUAGGGGGAUGACGUCAACCAUGGGGAGGUGUAGUCUAACGACUGGGGGGAUGACGUCAACCAUGGGGAGGUGUAGUCUAAGGGGAUGACGUCAACCAUGGGGAGGUGUAGUCUAACGACUAGGGGGAUGACGUCAACCAUGGGGAGGUGUAGUCUAACGACUAGGGGGAUGACGUCAACCAUGGGGAGGUGUAGUCUAACGACUAGGGGGAUGACGUCAACCAUGGGGAGGUGUAGUCUAACGACUAGGGGGAUGACGUCAACCAUGGGGAGGUGUAGUCUAACGACUAGGGGGAUGACGUCAACCAUGGGGAGGUGUAGUCUAAC